GGAAACGGCAUUGAGUGCUUGCACUCUUUGGACGUCGACCGGCGCACGGGUGAGUAACGCGUAUCCAACCUUCCCAUUACUGUGGGAUAACCUGCCGAAAGGCAGACUAAUACCGCAUAGUCUUCGAUGACGGCAUCAGAUUUGAAGUAAAGAUUUAUCGGUAAUGGAUGGGGAUGCGUCUGAUUAGCUUGUUGGCGGGGUAACGGCCCACCAAGGCUACGAUCAGUAGGGGUUCUGAGAGGAAGGUCCCCCACAUUGGAACUGAGACACGGUCCAAACUCCUACGGGAGGCAGCAGUGAGGAAUAUUGGUCAAUGGACGGAAGUCUGAACCAGCCAAGUAGCGUGCAGGAUGACGGCCCUAUGGGUUGUAAACUGCUUUUGUAUGGGGAUAAAGUUAGGGACGUGUCCCUAUUUGCAGGUACCAUACGAAUAAGGACCGGCUAAUUCCGUGCCAGCAGCCGCGGUAAUACGGAAGGUCCAGGCGUUAUCCGGAUUUAUUGGGUUUAAAGGGAGCGUAGGCUGGAGAUUAAGUGUGUUGUGAAAUGUAGACGCUCAACAUCUGAAUUGCAGCGCAUACUGGUUUCCUUGAGUACGCACAACGUUGGCGGAAUUCGUCGUGUAGCGGUGAAAUGCUUAGAUAUGACGAAGAACUCCGAUUGCGAAGGCAGCUGACGGGAGCGCAACUGACGCUUAAGCUCGAAGGUGCGGGUAUCAAACAGGAUUAGAUACCCUGGUAGUCCGCACAGUAAACGAUGGAUGCCCGCUGUUGGUACCUGGUAUCAGCGGCUAAGCGAAAGCAUU
rnacentral:rRNA from 1 species